AGUGGCAGACGGGUGAGUAAUGUAUAGGAAUCUACCUAGUAGUACGGAAUAAUUGUUGGAAACGGCAACUAAUACCGUAUACGCCCUACGGGGGAAAAAUUUAUUGCUAUUAGAUGAGCCUAUAUUAGAUUAGUUAGUUGGUGAGGUAAAGGCUUACCAAGACAAUGAUCUAUAGCUGAUCUGAGAGGAUGAUCAGCCACACUGGAACUGAGAUACGGUCCAGACUCCUACGGGAGGCAGCAGUGGGGAAUAUUGGACAAUGGGCGAAAGCCUGAUCCAGCCAUGCCGCAUGAGUGAAGAAGGCCUUCGGGUUGUAAAGCUCUUUUAGUGAGGAAGAUAAUGACGGUACUCACAGAAGAAGUCCUGGCUAACUCCGUGCCAGCAGCCGCGGUAAUACGGAGAGGGCUAGCGUUAUUCGGAAUCAUUGGGCGUAAAGGGCGCGUAGGCGGGUUAGUAAGUUAAAAGUGAAAUCCCAAGGCUCAACCUUGGAACUGCUUUUAAAACUGCUAGUCUAGAGAUUGAAAGAGGAUAGAGGAAUUCCUAGUGUAGAGAUGAAAUUCGUAAAUAUUAGGAGGAACACCAGUGGCGAAGGCGUCUAUCUGGUUCAAAUCUGACGCUGAGGCGCGAAGGCGUGGGGAGCAAACAGGAUUAGAUACCCUGGUAGUCCACGCUGUAAACGAUGAAUGUUAAAUAUGGGAAGUUUACUUUCUGUAUUAUAGCUAACGCAUUAAACACUCCGCCUGGGGACUACNGUCGCAAGANUAAAACUCAAAGGAANUGACGGGNNCCCGCACAAGCGGUGGAGCAUGUGGUUUAAUUCGAUGCAAC
rnacentral:rRNA from 1 species